rnacentral:rRNA from 1 species
UCAUACGUAGGAUCCGAGCGUUAUCCGGAGUGACUGGGCGUAAAGAGUUGCGUAGGGGGUUUAUUAAGCAGAUAGUGAAAUCGUGUGGCUCAACCAUACGACUAUUAUUUGAACUGGUAAACUUGAGAGUAUAAGGGGUAGAUGGAAUUCCCAAUGUAGGAGUGAAAUCCGUAGAUAUUGGGAGGAACACCGAUGGCGUAGGCAGUCUACUGGUAUACUUCUGACCCUGAGGCACGAAAGCGUGGGGAGCGAACCGGAUUAGAUACCCGGGUAGUCCACGCCGUAAACUAUGGAUGCUAGCUGUUGGACGUAUCGACCCGUUCAGUAGCGAAGCUAACGCGUUAAGCAUCCCGCCUGGGGAGUACGGUCGCAAGAUUA